GAUCAGUGGCUCAGGACGAACGCUGGCGGCGUGCUUAACACAUGCAAGUCGAACGGUAAGGCCUUCGGGGUACACGAGUGGCGAACGGGUGAGUAACACGUGGGUGAUCUGCUCUGCACUUCGGGAUAAGCCUGGGAAACUGGGUCUAAUACCGGAUAGGACCAUGGACUUCACGGUUUGUGGUGGAAAGCUUUUGCGGUGUGGGAUGGGCCCGCGGCCUAUCAGCUUGUUGGUGGGGGUAAUGGCCUACCAAGGGCAACGACGGGUAGCCGGCCUGAGAGGGUGUCCGGCCACACUGGGACUGAGAUACGGCCCAGACUCCUACGGGAGGCAGCAGUGGGGGAAUAUUGCACAAUGGGGCGGCAAGCCUGAUGCAGCGACGCCGCGUGAGGGGAUGACGGCCUUCGGGUUGUAGACCUCUUUCAAUAGGGACGAAGCGCAAGUGACGGUACCUAUAGAAGAAGCACCGGCCAACUACGUG
rnacentral:rRNA from 1 species